rnacentral:rRNA from 1 species
UACGUAGGGGGCAAGCGUUGUCCGGAUUUACUGGGCGUAAAGAGCGUGUAGGCGGCCAAGCAGGUCCGUUGUGAAAACUGGAGGCUUAACCUCCAGACGUCGACGGAAACCGCGUGGCUAGAGUCCGGAAGAGGAGAGUGGAAUUCCUGGUGUAGCGGUGAAAUGCGCAGAUAUCAGGAAGAACACCAAUGGCGAAGGCAGCUCUCUGGGACGGUACUGACGCUGAGACGCGAAAGCGUGGGGAGCGAACAG